rnacentral:rRNA from 1 species
UACGUAGGGUGCGAGCGUUGUCCGGAAUUAUUGGGCGUAAAGAGCUCGUAGGCGGUGUGUCACGUCGAUCGUGAAAACUUACAGCUUAACUGUGAGCGUGCGGUCGAUACGGGCAUCACUGGAGUUCGGCAGGGGAGACUGGAAUUCCUGGUGUAGCGGUGAAAUGCGCAGAUAUCAGGAGGAACACCGGUGGCGAAGGCGGGUCUCUGGGCCGAUACUGACGCUGAUGCGCGAAAGCCAGGGGAGCGAACGGG